UACGUAGGGGGCUAGCGUUGUCCGGAAUCAUUGGGCGUAAAGCGCGUGUAGGCGGUUCGGUAAGUCCGCUGUGAAAGUCGGGGGCUCAACCCUCGAAUGCCGGUGGAUACUGUCGGACUAGAGUACGGAAGAGGCGAGUGGAAUUCCUGGUGUAGCGGUGAAAUGCGCAGAUAUCAGGAGGAACACCAAUUGCGAAGGCAGCUCGCUGGGACGUUACUGACGCUGAGACGCGAAAGCGUGGGAAGCAAACAGG
rnacentral:rRNA from 1 species